rnacentral:rRNA from 1 species
UACGUAUGGUGCAAGCGUUAUCCGGAUUUACUGGGUGUAAAGGGUGCGUAGGUGGUGAGACAAGUCUGAAGUGAAAAUCUGGGGCUUAACCCCGGAACUGCUUUGGAAACUGCCUGACUAGAGUACAGGAGAGGUAAGUGGAAUUCCUAGUGUAGCGGUGAAAUGCGUAGAUAUUAGGAGGAACACCAGUGGCGAAGGCGACUUACUGGACUGCUACUGACACUGAGGCACGAAAGCGUGGGGAGCAAACAGG